AUACUCACUUCCCCAGCACAUAUACUAAACUGGACCGAUAUAAGGAAGACUAGCAUGGCCCUUGUGUGAGGAUGGCAUACAUCCAUGAAGUACUUCAUAGUCUU